GGGACGAAAUGGGAGCAUCCUCGACGGUUAUCUGCUUUUGGUGCUGUUUCCUCCUUGUAGCACAGUAAAAAAUGCAAAUGUAAGCAAAGCAGAAGCUGGCACGUUCAGCACAGCACAUCCUAAACACAAUAGCGAUUUUGGGUAAAGCUCCCAAACGCAGCUUCGCUCCAGCUCGGCUAAAGCAGCUAUUCCAUAAUUGAUAAUUGAUGGAAGAAUUGAUCAUCACCGCACACCGGACAGGAUGCCCUAAUAAACCUCAGUAAAUAUUUGUCAUUGGAUUCACAUGCAGAUACAUGGGUAACGCAAUAGGCAGCACGAGAGGGCUCGUGUCAGGAGGCAGCUCCGUCCCCUUCCUUGCACUUUCCUCAUUUCCCAAAAUUUCCCCCUUGCUGUUCUCAAAUGUCAGAAGAGAUAAUCAGGGCAAAUGUCAUUUCCCACCCGCUGAGCAGACCAUUUCCCAAAAGGAGGGCACUUCCAUCGCCGCAUCUGCAGGUCGGGCCGGGUGCGAGGAGGCCAUUUAUUACAGCAACACAAUUAAAAAUUCCCGCAGAUUCGGAAAUGGGCAAUUCCUUUAUGUAACCUCCAUCGAUCAUGGUAACAAUCACACUGUGCUUUAACAACCCACGUUCCGUGCAGCUUGCUUUUUUAAUUGCAUCUAUAGCAGAGGCUCGAUUUAGAGUAUUACCUCUAUAUGUUUGGAGAGCAUUCGCUUAAUCCCCAACUUUAAUUUAAUCUCUCAUCUUUAAGCGUGCAUCUGUCUCCUUGACACACUUGUUUCACGAUUCCCCCCCAUCCUUGAUAUAAAUCUGAUUUAUGCCGAGGCGCUGGGUUACCCUUAACACGGCAUUACUAGAGGGAAGGAUGCGGGUUUUGAAGCAUCACUGGGUCUAGUCUGCCUUGCGGGAUUGGGCUAUUGCUCCAGGUCGCGCCGGGAGCGGGCACAUAGUGCACGGCUCUCCCGUUCCGCUGGGGCCGGGGGCCCGAACCGGUGCGGCAUCCCGUCUCCGUGCCAUCAUCGGCGCCCCGGGACUGCGCCGAGCCGGGGCUCCGGGACCGCACCG
rnacentral:lncRNA from 1 species